rnacentral:lncRNA from 1 species
UGAUCUCUUUCUCUCGAGUACAAACGGUCUAAACACACAAGAAAUUUUUUUAUUGUCCUCAUAAAAGACUAAAACAGCAACAGAGCAAGGAUAGUCGAGAGACUACAUGUGUGACCCCUUCGAACACAAACAAUGUCGUAUAUGAAGAGGUACUCCUGAGAGAGCAAGCCUACUUUAAGAAGGCACUGCAUAUAAAGAAGAACAAAAGUCAAUGUCAAAACCAGACAAAAACAAGCUUUUGUGCAACUGGUAAAAGGAUUCACUCUUACUGUAUGUGGAGGUAUCAAUCUGUUCAGGGAGCUCCUUGAUAUCAACCUCAAACCUCUCUUGUACCUGUCCACAUUCAAAAUUGCUACAUUAAUAAAAUACGCAACUCGAUUAUGAGUCGAAGAUGGAUGGACUUAUGAAGAAUAUCCAAGUCCGAACCUGAUUAAGAACAUCAGAAUCUGAAGCUGAUGCAACAAAUGUGAUCGCUAGACCCUUUGUUCCAAAUCUACCAGCUCUCCCAACCUAUAUAUCAUACAUAGUGCAAAACAGUUACAUUACAAGAGCCCUUUCAGUGUGAUCAAUGAUAAAAACUUUCAUGGUUCAAUAAAUACGAAUACUUACCCUGUGAAGAUAUGUAUCAGCAGAAUCUGGCAUGUCAUAGUUGAUAACAAUAUUGACACGCUCAAUGUCAAUGCCUCUCCCCACCAAAUCUGUUGCCACAAGGAUCCUCUUGUGUCCUUCCUUGAAGCUUUUGUAGCGAGUCAACCUGCACAUCACAUCAUAUUAGCCUUCAAAGUUGGUCUCCAUGGGGGCUUUAAGAUCAAGUAGGAAUAAUCUAAAAAUAUCUACAAACCUCUCUUCUUGCGACAUGCCAGAAUGGAUGCAUAUUGAGGGGAAAUUGCAUUCUACCAGCAACUUGUUCAGCUCCGCAGCUCUGCUCACGCUCUUCACAAAUAUGACAACUUGAUUGAAGUCCAACGCAUCAAGAAGGUCAUUCAACUUGCGGUUCUUCUCCAUCUCGUUCAGUUUGAUGUAGUGCUGUUACAGUAGGACAGAAAAAAGGUUACUUAAUCAAGUAUCAAACAACAACCAAUAUGAGUAAUAAGACCACCUCACUUCAGUAAAAGUACCUGGACAAGUCCAUGAAGAGUCAACUUGGCUUCAUCAUCAACAUAUAUUUCCAUUGGCUGUAAGGAACAGAUAUCAGAGUAAAUGGUAUUAGCAAGCUUUCCUCAAGCAAUGACUUCCACAACUAAAAUGAGGACGGAUGAAGAACCCCUGAACUGAGAUCCUCGUCCAUCAGGUUUCCUCUUGAAAGAUGUGAGUAUUGCAAUGGAACAUCAAUAUUGCUCCGCACAUUAAGGGCAAUAAAAUUGAGCAUGAUGAAACCUUGAGGCCACAUAACUCCCGACUCAAAACCCACCCAGCACUGUUAGUAUUGUAGAUAUAUAGGAAAGGAAAAACACCGUGAUGAUAGUAGAUCCCACUGAGCACAUACACCACUAAACCACAAUCUAAAUUGCCUAUUCAGAGUGUCCUAAUUCUCUAAACCCUAAAAAGGUACCCAAUGUAUUAUUCAAUUAAGACCCUGCAUCCACGUAUCAAUGGCAGAUUUCCCAGGGCAGAGGGUGCUCAAAUAAACCUACGAUCUCCCAGAGAAGGCUAAACAUAAUUCAAGAUUACAAGACGUGCAAACCGAGGUAGCAUUGGCUGUGGGACAUUACAUCUUGCAUAAACUUCUUGCAGACUGGGCGUAUCUCUUUGCUGAGUGUAGCUGAGAACAUCAUAACUUGCUUAUCAUGAGGAGUCAUCUUGAAAAUCUCUUGCACAUCCCUUCGCAUGUCUGAAAAAAAAAAUACUAAAAAGUGUCAAAACAUACAUUCUAUUCAUGGAGAGGUAAGAUAUCUAAUAUAUAGAUUAUUAGAAUUCAGCAUACCAAGUGACUCGAGCAUUUUAUCACACUCGUCAAGAAUAAAAUGCCUCACAUUCUUCAAAGAGAGAUCUUUGUCCCUGGCGAGUGCAAGCACCCUACCAGGUGUACCAACAACAAUGUGAGGACAUUCAUUCUUCAGCAAGUCUUUAUGAAUUUUGAUGUUGACUCCACCAUAGAACACUGACACCUUUGUAUCAGGCAGAUAGGUACUGAAUCGCACAAACUCAUUGCAGAUCUGCAAGUAAUUUUCAACAGCAAAAGAUUACACAACAUGGGGGGAAGGGUGAUAACACAGAACUAUAGGAGCCAAAAACCUGAGUUAUACAGAAAAGUCAUACCUGGUAAGCCAGCUCUCUUGUAUGGCACAAGAUAAGUGCAGAAACCUGUCCAGGAGACGGUUCAAUCUGUUGCAGAGUAGACAACACAAACACAGCAGUCUUUCCCAUACCAGAUUUUGCUUGGCAAAUAACAUCCAUGCCCAAGAUAGCUUGAGGGAUACAUUCAUGUUGAACUGGGGGAGAACCAAAGAAAAUUGCACCGAAGGAACCGUUUAGUAGUAGAAUAUAACCUCCAUUUCUUUAUAAUUGGUGGCUUUACGACAUGCUAAGCUCACUCCAAAUCAAUAGAUUGAAAUAGCGUUUAUUACCUGGAAAAAAAAGUAAUCAAUAAAACGUUAAUGGACAAAGUAAACGAAACCAAUUAUAACAGAAAAACACAAAAACGAAUCUGAAUACAGCCAACACAACUUUACUUAGACGUGGUAGGUAAAGUAUAUGUAUCUUAAACCGACAUAUCUUCUCAAAAGUAGACGAAGUACAAAAAGUUAAAUGUCUAAGAACAACAAAAAUAGCUUUUGUGGAAGUAAUUAUGUAAGUUUAUAGUAUAUCAAUAGGUAACAGAAUUGUGCAAAGCAAAGGCAAGGAAGAAGACUCAAAAUAGAGUGAGAACUGAAUUGUGGAAGUAAGUUCUGUAAGUUUAUACCUUCAGAUGGAUGUUCAAAUCCAGAGUCAACAAUAGCUCGGAGAAGCUCCGGUUUUAAGAGGAAGUCUCUGAAUCCAGAACUGUGUAUUCCAACGUAACCUCUGCAACAAAAAGAAAACACAAGAAGAGAAGAGGAUUACACAUGAGAGUAUCAAAUAAGUUUCUAGCUGAAAGUCAUAUAUAAGUUUCCAAUAAUUACAGAGCAUUGAAGAAUUAAGAAACUGCAAUUUAUAAAGUGAAGCGACUAAUUAAAGCCUUACUGCUAACAACUAGAGAUCUAAGGAACCUCGAACUUAAACAUCAACUUUCUCAUUAACAAAUCAAGCUAAACAUAAAACUCACUUCUUCACGGCUUCGCCGUUAACUUUAUUUCCAGAAUCUGGGACCUUCUCGUCUUCUUCCUCGUAAUCCAGAAGCUCCUCCUCGUAGGCUUCGUUGUCUCUAGCGUCUCCCAUACUUCACAGGUUCUACACAAACAAUAUAAAUUUCAGAAAAAGUUCGCAAUUCGGUGCAAAACGAAAACCCUAAAGUUUGGGGAGAAACGUUCCCGAACACUAAGCGUGUAAAAUGAAUUUGCUAAUGAUCAAUGAAAUCUGAUGAACAGAGAGCGAGAAGAUACCUGAGAACUGAGCAGAGCUUGUCAGAUCGCGAAUUGGGAUUAGGGUUUCGAAUUCUCUGAUUGCAAGAGGAAGGAUAAAAUAUCUGAGCUUCACUUAGGUCAAAGACAGAUACGUAGUGAAGGAGACUGGAUACGGCUUACCUAAACUCUAAAUUGGGCUUUGUUUUGAUGGGCCUAUAUUUUGUUUGUCCUAAUGGGUUUAUGACUACAGUUAAAGCCUUGUCCACCCAAUUAUUAAGAAUACAAUAUUAAUAGGACAAACGAUGUAGAGAAGAAGACUUGUUCGUGUUUGUUAACUAGAAACUAAAAACCCUAAGUUUUAAGGAAUAUUAAAAAUGGUACACUCGAGGAAGUUCCGAGGUGUUCGCCAGAGACAAUGGGGUUCUUGGGUCUCUGAGAUUCGUCAUCCUCUUUUGUAAGUGUACUCUCUUCAUAUACAUACAUAUAUGAUCUCAACAUAUAUUACAAUGUUAUAUAUAUUGCUUAUUUUCAUAUGAAGCUAGAAUCUUUAGUAUUUCAUAAAAAAUUACUAGUAAAUUAUUAAAUGCAAAUAAAUUUAACGUUGAAAAAAUUAUCCUUUUCAAACUCGUGUCAUGUAAAUGUAUGCAUAUGUGAAAGAGUGUGGGUGUAAAAAAAAAAAUCAGGAAGAGAAGAGUAUGGCUUGGAACAUUCGAAACGGCAGAAGCGGCUGCGAGAGCUUACGACCAAGCGGCUCUUCUCAUGAACGGUCAGAACGCUAAGACCAAUUUCCCUGUCGUAAAAUCUGAGGAAGGCUCCGAUCACGUUAAAGACGUAAACUCUACGUUAAUGUCGCCCAAGUCGUUAUCUGAGCUCUUGAACGCCAAGCUGAGGAAGAGUUGCAAAGACCUAACGCCGUCUUUGACAUGUCUCCGUCUAGACACGGACAGUUCCCACAUCGGAGUUUGGCAGAAACGGGCCGGGUCGAAAACGAGUCCGACUUGGGUGAUGCGCCUGGAACUCGGGACCGUAGCUAAUGAAAGUGCGGUUGACUUGGGGAUGAAUACAAAGAAACAAACCGUCGAGAAAGAAGAAGAGGAAGAAGAAACUAUUAGUGAUGAGGAUCAGUUAGCUAUGGAGAUGAUCGAGGAGUUGCUGAAUUGGAGUUGACUUUGACCUUGGCACUUGGAUGUCUCAAAAGCGAGUAAAAAGGGUUUUCUUCAUUAUCAUCCGGAUUUUUUUUUCUUUCUUAAAGCUGCUAUGGAUCUAUUUAUUCGAUUAUAAAUGUAAGAAAAUUGUCAAAAAAAUACAUGUAAAAAAUCUAGUAUAUAUAUAUACAGACUUGUAUUUUUUUUCUUGGUAAUAAAGUGUAGUAUACAUGUGUGUUGUAUUUGAUCAAUAUAACAGAUUGUUGGGUUCUAGUAAUAUAUGUAUUUUAUUUUUUAUGUAUCCAUUGGUCUACUUGUCAAAAGGGGGGAGAUAAUUAUUUGCAACAUCUAUGACUCUUUUCACCAUCGCAGGUAUAGGUUGUAAUAUUAUGAAACGUAAUCUUAUGAGACCCAACGAAAGUUGUGAAUGAUUGACACGACAAUCAACUAAUUACGUUUCUUCAAAUCACAUAUUUUAAACAUGAAACCCUACUUGGUCCAGUACUUUUGUUAGUAUGACCAAUAAAAUCAUAAUUCAAAGCUAGAUUAUUGUGUUCUAUUAGUGUAUAUGUAACCUAAUUUCUUAUAAUAAAGGAACCUAUACAGAUAAAAGAGUCAAUUCAACAGAUAUAUAUUAAAUGGAUUUUCCUGCAAUUUUGAUGAGAGCCAUAUUGAAAAUGAAUCUAAAGUCAAUAAUCACUAGUAACUUGAUGAUCUCUUUCUCUCGAGUACAAACGGUCUAAACACACAAGAAAUUUUUUUAUUGUCCUCAUAAAAGACUAAAACAGCAACAGAGCAAGGAUAGUCGAGAGACUACAUGUGUGACCCCUUCGAACACAAACAAUGUCGUAUAUGAAGAGGUACUCCUGAGAGAGCAAGCCUACUUUAAGAAGGCACUGCAUAUAAAGAAGAACAAAAGUCAAUGUCAAAACCAGACAAAAACAAGCUUUUGUGCAACUGGUAAAAGGAUUCACUCUUACUGUAUGUGGAGGUAUCAAUCUGUUCAGGGAGCUCCUUGAUAUCAACCUCAAACCUCUCUUGUACCUGUCCACAUUCAAAAUUGCUACAUUAAUAAAAUACGCAACUCGAUUAUGAGUCGAAGAUGGAUGGACUUAUGAAGAAUAUCCAAGUCCG